GGGAAGGCAUACAUGCAGUCGAACGGACUUACCAGAAGCAGGAGAUGCUUGCAUUGACUAACGGAAGUGUAAGUUAGUGGCGGACGGGUGAGUAACGCGUGGGCAACCUGCCCCAUACCGGGGGAUAACACCUGGAAACAGGUGCUAAAACCGCAUAAGCGCACAGCUUCGCAUGAAGGUGUGUGAAAAACUCCGGUGGUAUGGGAUGGGCCCGCGUCUGAUUAGCUGGUUGGCGGGGUAACGGCCCACCAAGGCGACGAUCAGUAGCCGGCCUGAGAGGGUGGACGGCCACAUUGGGACUGAGACACGGCCCAAACUCCUACGGGAGGCAGCAGUGGGGAAUAUUGGACAAUGGGGGAAACCCUGAUCCAGCGACGCCGCGUGAGUGAAGAAGUAUUUCGGUACGUAAAGCUCUAUCAGCAGGAAAGAAAAUGACGGUACCUGACUAAGAAGCCCCGGCUAACUACGUGCCAGCAGCCGCGGUAAUACGUAGGGGGCAAGCGUUAUCCGGAUUUACUGGGUGUAAAGGGAGCGUAGACGGCAGCGCAAGUCUGGAGUGAAAUGCCGGGGUCCAACCCCGGAACUGCUCUGGAAACUGUGAAGCUGGAGUGCAGGAGAGGUAAGCGGAAUUCCUGGUGUAGCGGUGAAAUGCGUAGAUAUCAGGAGGAACACCGGCGGCGAAGGCGGCUUACUGGACUGUAACUGACGUUGAGGCUCGAAGGCGUGGGGAGCANACAGGAUUAGAUACCC
rnacentral:rRNA from 1 species